CUUUUGAGUAUAAUUUAAGGUCUAGCCUGCCCAAUGAGUUUAGUUAAAUGGCCGCGGUAUUUUGACCGUGCAAAGGUAGCAUAAUCAUUAGUUUUUUAAUUGAAAGCUUGUAUGAAAGGUUGGAUGAGGGAAAAGCUGUCUCUUUAAAAAUUACUUAGAACUUUAUUUUUAAGUGAAAAAGCUUAAAUAUAUAUAAAAGACGAGAAGACCCUAUAGAGUUUUAUAUUUUUUUUUUUUAAGGGUUUUAGNAUUUAUAAUUUUAAUUGAGAAAAAUAUUUAAUUGGGGUGAUUGAAAAAUUGAAUUAACUUUUUUUUUAUGUUUACAUUAAUUUAUGUGUGAAUGAYCCUUUUUUUAAGAUUAAAAGAUUAAAUUACCUUAGGGAUAACAGCGUAAUUUUUUUAGAGAGUUCAAAUCGAAAAAAAAGAUUGCGACCUCGAUGUUGGAUUAAAAUUAAUUUUUGGUGUAGGAGCUAAA
rnacentral:rRNA from 1 species